rnacentral:rRNA from 1 species
AACCGGAUUAGAUACCCUGGUAGUCCACGCCCUAAACGAUGUCUACUAGUUGUCGGGUCUUAAUUGACUUGGUAACGCAGCUAACGCGUGAAGUAGACCGCCUGGGGAGUACGGUCGCAAGAUUAAAACUCAAAGGAAUUGACGGGGACCCGCACAAGCGGUGGAUGAUGUGGAUUAAUUCGAUGCAACGCGAAAAACCUUACCUACCCUUGACAUGGACGGAACCUUGGAGAGAUCUGAGGGUGCUCGAAAGAGAGCCGUCACACAGGUGCUGCAUGGCUGUCGUCAGCUCGUGUCGUGAGAUGUUGGGUUAAGUCCCGCAACGAGCGCAACCCUUGUCAUUAGUUGCUACGAAAGGGCACUCUAAUGAGACUGCCGGUGACAAACCGGAGGAAGGUGGGGAUGACGUCAAGUCCUCAUGGCCCUUAUGGGUAGGGCUUCACACGUCAUACAAUGGUACAUACAGAGGGCUGCCAACCCGCGAGGGGGAGCUAAUCCCAGAAAGUGUAUCGUAGUCCGGAUUGUAGUCUGCAACUCGACUACAUGAAGUUGGAAUCGCUAGUAAUCGCGGAUCAGC